UACGAAGGGAGCUAGCGUUGUUCGGAAUCACUGGGCGUAAAGCGCACGUAGGCGGCUUUGUAAGUCAGAGGUGAAAGCCCGGAGCUUAACUCCGGAAUUGCCUUUGAGACUGCAUCGCUCGAAUCCAGGAGAGGUGAGUGGAAUUCCGAGUGUAGAGGUGAAAUUCGUAGAUAUUCGCAAGAACACCAGUGGCGAAGGCGACACACUGGCCCGUUACUGACGCUGAGGCGCGAAAAGCGUGGGGAGCAAACAGG
rnacentral:rRNA from 1 species